rnacentral:sRNA from 1 species
AAACUCAUUGCUUACCUCAUCUUGAUAGAGGAGAUAUGGCUUCUUGCUAUGUGGUUUUUCCAUCUUCCUUCUACUUUGUCUUCUGAAGAAGGUAGAUAAUGACUAUAAUGCCCUUCGAGAAAGACUCAGCACCUUGCCUGAUAAAUUGUCUUAUAAUAUAAUGGUACCAUUUGGCCCUUUUGCCUUCAUGCCAGGAAAACUUGUCCAUACUAAUGAAGUCACUGUUUUACUGGGGGACAACUGGUUUGCAAAGUGCUCAGCAAAGCAGGCUGUAGGUUUAGUUGAGCACCGGAAAGAACAUGUAAGAAAAACAAUAGAUGACUUAAAAAAAGUGAUGAAAAAUUUUGAAUCCAGAGUUGAAUUCACAGAAGAUUUGCAGAAAAUGAGCGAUGCUGCAGGUGAUAUUGUUGACAUACGAGAAGAAAUUAAAUGUGACUUCGAAUUUAAAGCAAAACACCGAAUUGCUCAUAAACCGCAUUCCAAACCAAAAACUUCAGAUAUUUUUGAAGCAGAUAUUGCAAAUGAUGUGAAAUCCAAGGAUUUGCUAGCUGAUAAAGAA